CCCACUGGUCUGUACGCCAAACCCGUCCCCACAGUUUUUGUUUUUUGGGUCCUUUCCGUGUCUUUGUGUAGCGGAGGAACGGAGGGGAGGGAGGCGGCGGAUGCCGUGGAGGACGGUGCUGCCUGCCGUCGGUUAGGAACGGCGAGGGCUGGCGAAAGGUCAUGGAACGAGGCCAGCUGCCGGCGAGCAGGUCUGGUUAGAAAGAGCCUGGCUGCCAGGAACAGGAUGCAGCGGGAGGAAGGAGAGAGGGCGGUACAAAGAGGAGGUCGGCGGAGGCGUCCCGUCGGGCUCGUCACGAGCAAGCGCUCGCCGGGGAGGCCGGAAGCAGCCGUCGUUGCCAGGCGGUGAGCAUUUCCUCCUGAUUUCCCCCCUCAUGUCUGACUUCCUGUAGCUGCGCUCCCUUGUGCUCCCACGAUUCAGUCCCCGCUCCAUGGUUGUAUUAGUUCAGUCGAGUUCCCUUGCUAACCCCCCUCGUGGUUCACUGAUUCGUUGUGCUAGGUCGAUCAUCACCCAUGGAAAACGAGGUCCAGCCAAAAUGUAUCAGAUCGGCAGAUUCUUAGUGGACUGCUUUCCAUAUGUAACAUCUCUGCUACAUUAGAUUAGAAUUCUGUGGGGAAUGGGUAGUGGAUCAGUAUGCACAUACUUUCUUGUUUCCAAUUCUUUUCAGCACCAUGUUUUGCAGUUUUGGUCAGUUCAGCAUCAUUUUCUGGACUUCUGUCAGUCUGCACCAUGUUAUUUUUUCGACAGUGGGUGGUCAGUUCAGUAUUACGAAAUUUAGUUAGUCAUAUUCAUUCUUAUUUCUUCAGUCAUGUUCAUUGAUCCUCUCACUCUCAGUCCCCUUCUUAGUUUCCUUUUGCCUCUUAGCUUGUUGGCAUAUUCACUACUUCUUAUUUUAGUUUUCAGUCUUAUUCAGUCCCUUUUAUUUUAGUUUUCAGUUACAGUCAUAUUCUCUCUUACUUCUUUUAUUCUAUUCUUUGGAUAGAACAGAGGAUAUAUUUGAUAGAACAGAUAUGUUUCCUUCGCCAUGCUAUUCAGAUGGGGAACAAAAGACACACAACAAUGGUAGUCCAAUAUGAAGAAAGAACUUUGUGUUGUCUCAUUUUGCAUCAUUCAUCAUUUAUUACUCCCUCCUCCCCAUAAUAUAAGGCGUUUUUGCAAGCUAACAUAACUUGCAAAAACGUCUUACAUUGUGGGACGGAGGGAGUAUUUUUCAUUCGAUUAUUCAGUUGUUCUUCUCAGGGUCGCCUAAGGCAGAAAAUGGGUUCUGUAAGUCAGUUUAUCUUGUACCUUCAUUUCUUAAUCAUCUGAUUAUUCAUAGAGCAGCUGCCACUGUAAAAUAUAUCAUCGAGACGCUGUCACCCUCAUGUCAUGGAGAUGCAAAAUUUUUGCAACUGUCCUGACCGAGUUGGCUUGCUGCUACAGAUUUUCCUCCGUUUCUUCAUUCAGAUUUUGCUUUCCGUUCCUCAACAUUAUCAAUUUCUCCUAGUAGGUGUUCAUAUUUCAUUCUGCUCUUCGAUCCCUUCGAAACCAUGUGGAGCCGUCUCCUCAUGAACAUGUUGUACCUCAGGGCAGAGUGCUCUGGCCUUAUCAUGCUUACACCAUCUUUGUUUUUACGUUACAUUUUUGUCCAUUCAUCAGUCAUCAAUAUUUCUUAAUUUCAGCCAGUACUCAUUAUCCAGUAAAAUGGAGCUCAUUUAAUGCUCAUUCAUUUUCUGUUAUCCAGUAAAAUCUAGUUUUCCUUAUAUUUUAGAUUGUUAGUAGGACAACCACCUUUUUUUGGUUACCAUUUUUAAGUCCUCAGGUUUGAGUCUUGAGAACCAUGGCUAGUCCAAUCUAGUUAAAAACCAGGUUUCUCCUACCUAUAUAAUGUGGCUAUACUGAAUCUAUAUGUGUGCGCAUUCACGCACAUGUGGUUUGACGCCACAAAAACCUAAAUCUAUUUUCUACCCUGACCCCCCAUAUGCAUCUAUGUGUCACGGUUUCAGCUUUUUGGGAAGGCGAUCUCCGAGUUCCUUAGUCUAUUUAAGUGUUCAUUUCUCCCAUAGUUUCUUGGGAUGGCUAGCAUUUUUUUAGUAAUGCGGUGUUUUUUUUUAUGAGAAUUUGUUCAGCUAUGCUGUAUCACAUGUAUGAGUUUUUGACUAAACAGAGCAGUUUAUUUUCUUCUUAACUUGGAACAUUUUUUCAGAUCCUUUGUAUGAGGCUAACCUUGACAUAAUAAACAGAGCAGUUUAUUUUUCUUCUUAACUUGGAACAUUUUUUCAGAUCCUUUGUAUGAGGCUAACCUUGACAUAAUAAACAGAGCAACGGUUUAUCAUCCGUGUAGGAGUUUUUUUCCCCAGUGUUCAGAUCAGCUGGCACAUAAGAAGAAAGAGAGGGGGCUCGGGUGAGGUAUCUGGGCACUAGCUGAAAUUGGAGCUCAUGAUGAAGCUGAUGACGUGUAUACGGAGAUUGAUGAGAAGCUCAAGCACGGAAGGUGCAUGAUCGGCCGUACCCAACAAUGACGCAUGUCGUCAUAGGACUGGACAAAAAAAAUAGCCUAAUCGGAAAUCAGACGACUGGAGGUUCAACAGUCCCUUUGGAAAAUGGGCCAGCAAGGUGUCACACCUGGUGCCUGAAAAAAAAACUCGUACAGGAAAAAAAACUCGUAUACGACAUGUGAACAGUGCGACUAAUUCGUAGCACAGGAUGGAGGCUGGAGUUAGAAACAAUUCCUUAUUUAACGCUAUCUUAAAUUUUAUUUCCUUAUUUAACAUUUAAAAAC